UACGUAGGGUGCAAGAGUUGUCCGGAUUUAUUGGGUUUAAAGGGUGCGUAGGUGGCUGAUUAAGUCAUGGGUGAAAGCCCGCAGCUCAACUGUGGAAUUGCCUGUGAUACUGAUUAGCUUGAGUGCGGUUGAGGCAGCUGGAAUUGGUGGUGUAGCGGUGAAAUGCAUAGAUUCCACCAGGAACACCGAUUGCGAAGGCAGGUUGCUAAGCCGUAACUGACACUGAGGCACGAAAGCGUGGGGAGCAAACAGG
rnacentral:rRNA from 1 species